GUGCCAUGACAGCGCCUAGGAUCCGAACCAGCAAAAUCCUGGGCUGCCGCAGCAGAGCGCAUGAACUUAACCACUUGGCCAUGGGGCCGGCCCCUCCCUUAGUUUUUAUUGUGAAAAAUUUCAGACUACGAAAGAUUAUAAGAGUAGUACAAUAUACACCUAGAUAUCCAUCACUUAGAUCACCAGGUAUCAACAUAUUGCCACCUUUACUGUUUCUUGCUCCCUCACAAACACUGGCACCCACAGUGAAUGUUCUGUACACACAUUUGGUUUUUGCUGAAUCAUUUAAGAUUAAGCUGUGGAAUUAUGGUAAUUCAGUCAUAAAUACUUUAGCCAGUAUCUCCUAAGAAUAGGGACAUUUUCCUUUAUAACCAUAAUACAGUUCUCACACUCAAUUUAACUUUGAUAACAGUACUACUAUCUAAUAGAUAGUCUAUACUUCAAUUUUCCCAGGUAUCCCAAUAAUAUGUCUUUAUAGUUGUGUUUUUUAAAAUAACAGCUUUAUUGCAAUGUAGUUCACAUACCAUACAAUUCACGUAUUUAAAGUGUACAAUUCACUGGUUUUUACUGUAUUCAGAAUUGUACAACCAUUGCCACAAUCAAUUUUCAAAAGUUUUUAUUACCCUAAGAGGAAAUCCUAUGCCCGUUAGCAGUCAUUUGUCUUCCCCACUCCACCCCUUAGCCCUAGGCAAUGCUAAUCUAUUUUUUGUCUCUGUAGAUUUUCCUGGACGUUUCAUUUAAAUAUAAUCGUACAAUAUGUGAUCUGUUGUCACUGGCUUGUUGGUAAAAUGAUUUUGAGGCACACCCAUGUUGUAGUAUGUAUUGGUACUUCAUUCCUUUUUAUGGCUGAAUAAUAUUUCACUGUAUAGAUAUACCACAUUUUGUUCAUCAUUUGAUGUACAUUUGGAUUAUUUCCACUUUUUGGCUGUUAUGAAUAAUGCUUCUGUGAACAUUGGUGUACAAGUUUUUGUGUGGAUGUGUCUUUUCAUUUCUCUUGGGUAUAUAUCUAGGAGUGGAAUUGCUGGGUCAUUAUGGUGACUCCAUGUUUACCUUUAUGAGGAACUGCCAGACUGUUUUCAAAUGCACUGCAGCAUUUUACCUUCCCUUUAGCAGUUAUAGUUGGUUUUUGUUUUUGUUUUGGGUCCAGGAUCCACUCAAGGAUCACAUGUCACAUUUAGUUAUGUCCCUUUAGUCUCCUUUUAUCCAGAACAGUCGUCAGUGUCUUUUGUGACAUUGACCUGUUUGAAGAGUUCAUGCCAGUGUUUUGCAGAACAUCCUUCAACUUGGAUUUGUCUGUCUCCUUAUGAUUGGAUUCAGGUGAAACAUUUCUGUCAGGAAUUCUUCAUCUGUGAUGUAUCAUUGUAUCAGGUGGUACUUGAUACCAGUGUGUCCCGUUGUUGGUGAUUUGAAGUUAGAUAAUUUAAGAUGUUGUCUGCCAGCUUUUUCCCCUUUGUAAUUAAUAAGUAAUUUCUGGGGUGAUGUUUGAGACAGGGAAUAUCCUGUCCUCAACAGUUUUGCACCCAUCGUUAGUGUUCAUUGGUGAUUCUUUGACUGAAUCAUUUAUUACUAAGGUGGUUGUAAAAAAGUGAUUUUCUAUUUUAUCUUCCUUCUACAUUCUUGCCAUUUUUCUGUGAAGAUGUAUAACACCCUUUUAAGAAGUUUCAGUGUAAUUCUCUCAUUCAUUGUAAUAACCGUCUCUGUUAUUAUUCAUUUCAGUACUCAAAUUCAGCCCAGAUUUGGCUUCCGUGUCCUAUUGACAGGCCUGUCAAUCUUUGAACAUUUCUUUACUUUCUGACACGCAAGAUGCUUUCCAUGCUGACCUUGUGUUUUCUUCACCCGAGUUCCCUCUGCUUACUUUCAGAAACAGUCAUUUGGAAAAUUGGAAAACUUGAUGUGCCUGCCCAUCCCUCCCUUAGUCGGGAGCCGUAGAGUGUCAGAAAGAAUUGCACCAGGGGAAGCAGGCGCGGCUGCAGCAGGAGGUCUGGGGUUCUGGUUGGAGGGGAAGUUCUCAGUCACUUGUACAGCAAGGUGCAGAAAGCAAGCCCUAGCACUAAUUCUUCAAAGUGGACUCUAGACAAGGCUGAAUUAUUUUAACUUUUCCAUUUAUCUUCUAACCUUUUUGGAAGGAUACCUACAGACUGGGAAAGACAGAAAACUGUCACUGAGGACAGAUUUCUAGAUAUGUCCAAAUCAUCAGAUUAGGAAUGAUCGCCAAAUUUUAUCUUUAAAUAAUGUCUACUAAAAAUGCCUUUAUAUGUCAGCAAAUGGUGCUGGGACAACUGGACACCCCCAUGUAAAAGAACAACAACUACUGACAAGGAUGUGGAGAAACUGAACUCUCGUACGCUGCUGGUGGGAAUGUAAAUGGUACAGCCACUUCGGAAAACAGUCUGGCAGUUCUUCAAAAGGUUAAACACAGAGUUACCAUUUGACCCUGCA